rnacentral:rRNA from 1 species
UACAGAGGUGGCGAGCGUUAUUCGGAAUUAUUGGGCGUAAAGGGCGCGUAGGCGGCCAAGCAAGUCCUGGGUGAAAUCCCUCGGCUCAACCGAGGAACUGCCUCGGAAACUGCAUGGCUUGAGGCCGGGAGAGGGUAGCGGAAUUCCCAGUGUAGCGGUGAAAUGCAUUGAGAUCGGAAAGAACACCAACGGCGAAAGCACUCUGCUGGGCCGACACUGACACUGAGAGACGAAAGCUAGGGGAGCAAAUGGG